AAUGAACGCUGGCGGCAUGCCUAAUACAUGCAAGUCGAGCGAACGGACGGGGAGCUUGCUUCUCUGAUGUUAGCGGCGGACGGGUGAGUAACACGUGGUUAAACUACCUAUACGACUGGGAUAACUUCAGGGAACCAUAGCUACUACCGGAUGAUAUUUUGAACUGCAUUGGUCAAACGUGAAAGACGGUCUUUCUGUCACUUAUAGAUGGAUCCGCGCUUCAUUAGCUAGUUGGUAAGGUAACGGCUUACCAAGGCAACGAUGCAUAGCCGACCUCAGAGGGUGAUCGCCCAGACUGUAUGUGAGACACGGUACAGACUCCUACGGGAGGCAGCAGUAGGGAAUCUUCCGCGAUGGGGGAAAGCCGGAUGGAGGAACGUCGCGUGAGGGAUGAAGGUCUUAGGAUCGUAAAACUCUGUUAUUAUGGAAGAACAAAUGUGUAAGUAACUGGGCACAUAUUGACGGUACCGAAUCAGAAAGCCCCGGCUAACUACGUG
rnacentral:rRNA from 1 species